rnacentral:misc_RNA from 1 species
UGGCACCUUUGUCCACUUGUAAGAAGGCUAUUGGUUGCAAAUGGGUUUUUUCAGUGAAGACGAAUCCUGAUAACCUAUAGCCAGAUUGAAAGCACGUCUUGUAGUUAAAGGAUAUGCUCAACAUAUGUGGUGGAUUACUCUGAUAAUUUUUCUCUUGCGGCUAAACUAGCUUCAGUUCAAUUGUUUAUCUCUCUAGCAGCUACAUAUGAUUAGCCUUUGCACCAAUUAGAUAUAAAAAAUGCUUUUCUUCAUGGUAAUCUUCAAGAGAAGGUAUAUAUGGAACAACCACCAGAGUUUGUUGUUUAGGGGGAGUUGGGUAAAGUUUGCAGACUUUGAAAGUAUCUUUAUGGCUUGAAACAAAGUCUUUGGGCUUGGUUUGGGAGAUUCAGUG